UUUUCGAAGUCUUUAUUUCUCCAUGUUUCUCUUUCCCCAGCCUCUUCCCUCCUAGGUGCUCUGGUGUGUCUGCUUCUGGCCCCAUCUGUUUUCCCUUGCUCCAGGUGGCUACAGCUGGCAUAUGCCUUUAAAUCCUUUCGACAAACACUGCUGGGAAGGUGGUUCCAAUGCUGAAAGUUCUGAGGGCGAUGAAACAAAGGCAAGCCUCUGAGUCAGUCCCUCUGGUUGCUGCCAGACUGGUCGAAAAAUACAACCACAGCUUUUUGAGAACAAGGACCUUAUUGGCCUCUCUGGCACAAGCAAGCUGCCCAAGGAAUGUGGGCCACCAUCUCCAUAGCUGCUUUCUGAACUGGGGAUUGAGAGGUGGCGAUCACAGGGCACGCCCUAAGAAACCUGCACACUAACCUCCCUCUCAGACACUGCUUCUGGAGAGCCCAACCUGUGACCGCUGGGUCAGGAGGGGUCUGAGGAAGAAGAUGCUAAGAUGGGAUUCUGGCUCUGGAUCACCCACUGCCUAGCUGCUGAUAAGGAUCCUUUUGCUGGGGGUAGAUGGAGCGGGUACAUGCCCCCGCACAGAGCAGAGUGCCACCUGCCCAGAACCGCUCCACGGUCCAUGGAGAUCGGUUUACUUCUCUUUUCGCCUGCUUCCGCAGCCAAGACUCAACUCCCUCCCAUCCAUGAGUUCUCUUGGAGUAUCUUUGUGUAAACAAGGUCUCAGUAACUAAAUCCUGUUUCCAUCUCCCUGCAUCAGUGUUCUCUGGCUGGGUGGGCGGAGCUCCUUUGGCUCGGUCCUGCUGAUGUCCUUAAAGGCCUCAGCCCGUGGAGUCAAAGCCUGGGGCCAGCGGCUGCAGGAUUCUAAACACUGUGAGUGCUCAGUUGCGCAGCUGGGUGUGGGACUGUGUGACGGCAAGAAGCAUCCAAAGGUGGACGUGGCCAGGGAUGGGAGGAGCCAUCGGAGAGGUGGUAAGGACAGCGACCGAGUUCCCCGAGAGAGGCGAGUCUUAGUAAUUCGGGAAUUCAGCCCCCACGACUGUGGUGAGUGAGGAGGAAGAAUGCGGAAUUGAGAGAUGGAAAAUGAGGCAGGCACUGGCCCCAGCCCUGGAAAGCCGUCCCUUCUCCUGUUCUGAAAGCCGACUUCUCCCACCUGGACGUGCACCCCAUCUCCCCGGGAGGCCCCGGAGCCUGGCUGCAGUCCGUCUGUCUGCCUGGCUCGCCGCCAUGGCUUUGCUCACCCCUCUCAUCUUUGCCAUGUUAUCUCUACACUUAGGAUUUGUGGUUUGUCUUGUACACUAAUAAACGGCAACUCUAUUAGGA
rnacentral:lncRNA from 1 species